rnacentral:rRNA from 1 species
UACGUAGGGUGCGAGCGUUGUCCGGAUUUAUUGGGCGUAAAGGGCGCGUAGGCGGCCACGCACGUCCGUUGUGAAAUCGCCCGGCUCAACUGGGCGGGGUCAGCGGAUACGGUGUGGCUAGAGCAAGCUAGGGGGCAAUGGAAUUCCCGGUGUAGUGGUGGAAUGCGCAGAUAUCAGGAAGAACACCCGUGGCGAAGGCGGCUCUCUGGUACGUGACUGACGCUGAGACGCGAAAGCGUGGGGAGCGAACAGG